rnacentral:rRNA from 1 species
AUUAAACGCUGGCGGCAUGCCUUACACAUGCAAGUCGAACGGCAGCACGGGGCAACCCUGGUGGCGAGUGGCGGACGGGUGAGUAAUGCAUCGGAACGUGCCCUGAAGUGGGGGAGUAACGCAGCGAAAGCUACGCUAAUACCGCAUAUUCUGUGAGCAGGAAAGCAGGGGAUCGCAAGACCUUGCGCUUUGGGAGCGGCCGAUGUCGGAUUAGCUAGUUGGUGGGGUAAAGGCCUACCAAGGCGACGAUCCGUAGCGGGUCUGAGAGGAUGAUCCGCCACACUGGGACUGGGACACGGUCCAGACUCCUACGGGAGGCAGCAGUGGGGAAUUUUGGACAAAUGGGGGGCAACCCUGAUCCAGCCAUGCCGCGUGAGUGAAGAAGGCCUCGGUUGUAAGACUCUUCGGUCCGGGAACGGAAA